UCUGAGGGCAGCCAAAACAAUGCAGACAACAUUGGACUGGUCGACCACCAGUAUGCCAAUAAAGGUCCACUGUGGUCCAAGAGGUUGUGUCCUCAGCAAGAACAAGUGCUGACCUAUGUGCUGGACAGAACACAUCCAGCAAAAGAAAUUGUUUUUCUGGAUGGUCCAGUUUGUCUUCAAAGGGAGGACUUUUGGAGCCUGGGGCUAGAUGAACAGAUUGGGAAUGCGUGCUUCAGACUGGUAGAGGAGACAGCCAGGAGACAUACAACUUGCAGGAGAAGUGACUAAUGGACCGUGGGUGGAGAAGACGGGCAAAGAUUUUGAUCCAUUUCCAGUUCAGUCAGAUGACAGAGCUGUGGGAUAUUCAUGCUUAUGGUAAACUUAUACAAUUUCUACUUGUUUUUUCCUGCAUG